rnacentral:rRNA from 1 species
AUUGAACGCUAGCGGGAUGCUUUACACAUGCAAGUCGAACGAGUGGAGGACGGGUGAGCAAUAUAUCGGAACGUGCCCAGUAGCGGGGGAUAACUCCUCGAAAUAGUGGCUAAUACCGCAUACUAUUAGCUCGGCCGAUAUCGGAUUGGCUAGUUGGGGGGGUAAAGGCUGACCAAGGCACCGAUCCGUAGCUGGUUUGAGAGGACGACCAGCCAAACUGGGACUGAGAGACGGCCCAGAAUCCUACAGGAGGCAGACGGUGGGAAUUUUGGACAGUGGGUGCAGCCCUGAUUCAGCCACACCGCGGGUAUGAGAAGGCCUUCGGGUUGCAAAGUACUUGUGGCAGAGAAGCGGUAUCUACAGAAUAAGCACCGGCUUACUACGUGCCAGCAGCCGCGGUAAUAC